rnacentral:rRNA from 1 species
UGGGGAAUUUUGGACAAUGGGGGCAACCCUGAUCCAGCCAUGCCGCGUGCGUGAAGAAGGCCUUCGGGUUGUAAAGCUCUUUCGGCCGGGACGAAAUCGCACAGGCUAAUACCCUGUGUGGAUGACGGUACCGGAAUAAUAAGCACCGGCUAACUACGUGCCAGCAGCCGCGGUAAUACGUAGGGUGCGAGCGUUAAUCGGAAUUACUGGGCGUAAAGCGUGCGCAGGCGGUUGUGUAAGACAGGUGUGAAAUCCCCGGGCUCAACCUGGGAACUGCGUUUGUGACGGCAUAGCUAGAGUACGGCAGAGGGGGGUGGAAUUCCACGUGUAGCAGUGAAAUGCGUAGAGAUGUGGAGGAACACCGAUGGCGAAGGCAGCCCCCUGGGCCUAUACUGACGCUCAUGCACGAAAGCGUGGGUAGCAAACA